GCUGGGGACUCCCUGAGACCGGACCCAGACUCAGCAGACUGACUGGCAUUCCUUCUGGGUGUGACCCCUGCCAGGGGCCUGGGGAGUGAUUUGCAACUAAUGCCCAUAGAACUUAGCACCUUUUCUGAGGCUUCUGGCCACAAAAUGAAAGAAGGGGCCUUAAUCAUCAGGAGAUCUGCAGCCCAGCCCCCACUCCUUAUGAAGACUUACUAUGAGCUUUUAUAAAGAGUCCAGACUCCUGACUUGCGUCAUAAGGUUUCCCUCCCUCCCCUCCAUAGAGGAAAAGGAGGGAAGAAGCCAAAGGAGCAAGAGGCUGUGGGGCAGAGAAGAUCAGACACGAGAGAGAGGGGAGGUCAGAGUUCCACAGACGUUGCUUUCUCCUCCGCAGUCGGCUGUUAGCUACCCCAGAGCACUUCUGGCUCUUGCAGGGCUUGAGAGGCAGAACUGAGACAGUGGCUACAAGGGCAGGCCCGCUGAGACUGUCCAGAGGAAUGUGGUUGGUGGGACUAGGAACCUCGGCUCGGCCUCCAGGAAUGCCAGGCCUGCCUCUCGGGCCCUCUGGCUCCCAGACACUGCAGGGCUGUCAAGGGCAGCAGUGGUCAGACCCACAGACGUGUGGAUUCUUUGGGCAGAUCUGGCAGAGACCUUUUCAACCAAAUGCAGAAAUUUAUGAGGAAAUCUUAGCAUAUGGUAAUGAUAAACUUGAAAACAAUACCUAGAAGAUGUUAAUGCUGUUAAAUGACCCACGUUUGAAAGCCUCUUCCUUUCAAGGCAUUGCCAUAAGAAUAUUAGUUAUUUUUUUCCUUCAUCCUCCUCAACCCAAUUGUGUGUGUGCAUGUGUGGGGUGUGUAAGGGGAGGAAGGCUAAUGUUUAGAUAACCUCUCAGCAUAUGUGUUGGUAUGACGCAGGACACUCAUCCAGAAACAAGGAAGAGCACAGACUGAAUGGGAAAGAACCGCUGCACCUUCUGCUCUUCCUCAGGCGCUGGUCCCCUGCCAAGUCUCUUCCCCACACUCAGAGUUACCUUCUCCCCCGAAUUCCCACCACACUGCCCAGGACUCUUAGGGCAUUUAUCACAGUCUCCUCCCAGCAUAAAUACAUACCUUAUUUCCUCUACAAGAUACCUUCCUUCUGGAUCGUGCCCUUAUCACUCACUUGGUCUGUUCUCAAUGCAACUGUGUUUUAAUUGUCGUUGAACGAAUGGAAGGAAGACGGAAGACCAGAAGGGAGAGACUGGGAGAAUGGGGGAGGGAGGAGACAGGGCGGAUGGGAAGCUACUGCAUGGUAAGGGGUGUUGAGUCCACCCAUGGACUGGAUGGGACUAUAUGGCUGGCUCUUCUCUGUGUCCCAAACAACUCGAUUUAUAGAUUUUCACAUUUGUAUCAUUGUUCUACCAGUGACAUGCCUCUUGUCUUAGCUUUCAUACUUUU